UACGUAGGGGGCAAGCGUUGUCCGGAAUCAUUGGGCGUAAAGCGCGUGUAGGCGGUUCGAUUAGUCUGCUGUGAAAGUCGGGGGCUCAACCCUCGAAAGCCGGUGGAUACUGUCGGGCUAGAGUGCGGAAGAGGCGAGUGGAAUUCCUGGUGUAGCGGCGAAAUGCGCAGAUAUCAGGAGGAACACCAAUUGCGAAGGCAGCUCGCUGGGACGUUACUGACGCUGAGACGCGAAAGCGUGGGGAGCAAACAGG
rnacentral:rRNA from 1 species